rnacentral:rRNA from 1 species
GGGGGGGGCGGGGGGGGGGGGGGGGGGGGGCGGGUCGGGCGGCGGGGGGGUGCGGGUGUGGGGGGCGCGAGGGGCGGACGGGUGGGUAACGCGGGAGGAGCCUGCCCUUGGCUUUGUGAUAACUUCAGGAAACUGGGGCUCCUACCGGACAGGCGCUCCUGCUGCGUGGCGGUGGUUGGCCAGUUUCGGCUGUCGGGGAUGGACUCGCGGCUUCUCAGCUUGUUGGUGGGGGAGUGGCUUACCAAGGCUUUGACGGAUCGCCGGCCUGAGAGCGUUACCGGGCACAAUGGGACUGAGAUACGGACCAGACGCCUAGGGGAGGCAGAAGUGGAGAAUAUUGCACAAUGGGAGGAAGCCUGAUGCAGCGACGCCGGGUGCGGGAUGACGGCCUUCGGGUUGGAAACCGCUUUCGCCUGUGACGAAGCGUGAGUGACGGUAAUGGGUAAAGAAGCACCGGCUAACUACGUG